AUUGAACGCUGGCGGCAUGCUUUACACAUGCAAGUCGAACGGUAACAGGCCGCAAGGUGCUGACGAGUGGCGAACGGGUGAGUAAUGCAUCGGAACGUGCCCAGUCGUGGGGGAUAACUACUCGAAAGAGUAGCUAAUACCGCAUACGAUCUAUGGAUGAAAGCGGGGGACCGUAAGGCCUCGCGCGAUUGUAGCGGGCGAUGUCAGAUUAGGUAGUUGGUGGGGUAAAGGCUCACCAAGCCAACGAUCUGUAGCUGGUCUGAGAGGACGACCAGCCACACUGGGACUGAGACACGGCCCAGACUCCUACGGGAGGCAGCAGUGGGGAAUUUUGGACAAUGGGCGCAAGCCUGAUCCAGCAAUGCCGCGUGCAGGAAGAAGGCCUUCGGGUUGUAAACUGCUUUUGUACGGAACGAAACGGCUCUGGUUAAUACCCGGGGCUAAUGACGGUACCGUAAGAAUAAGCACCGGCUAACUACGUG
rnacentral:rRNA from 1 species